UCGCCAGUUCGUCGGAAGACGAACGACCUCACACGGCGAAGGUCGUGGGUUCGAAUCCCACCCGGCCCA
rnacentral:tRNA from 1 species